ACGCAAGAUGUCGGAUGUUUACUAUUUCGGUGUUGUUUGUGCUCUCAUUUUCUUAUAAAAAUUUCUUAAUUAAAUUGUUAAAUUAAAUACAGAAUACUUUUAUCAAACAAAAAUGACUCGUCAUGCUCGAAAUUGUACCGCAGGAGCAGUGUAUACUUAUCACGAAAAGAAAAAAGAUGCUUCCGCAUCAGGUUAUGGAACAAAUAGUCAUCGCAUUGGUAAAGACUCUGUCAAAGGAUUUGAUUGUUGUUGUUUAACACUCCAACCGUGCAGAAAUCCUGUUGUCACACGUGAUGGAUAUUUGUUUGAUAAAGAAGCUAUUUUGGAGUAUAUUCUUACCAAGAAGAAAGAAUAUGCAAGAAAAAUGAAAGAAUAUGAAGCUCAGAAACGUAAAGAACAGGAAGAAUCCCAAGAACGAACAGCCAAUGAAGAACUUCAAAAAUUGGAAAAUUUUUUAAAAAGUGAAAAAAAUAUUCUUUCAUCUUCAAAGGACACAAAAGAUACUUCUGUUGCAUCAGUUUCUAACAUGACAAACGGUCGUGAUAAAUCAUUACCAAGUUUUUGGAUACCUUCAAAAACUCCUGAAGCCAAACCUGUAACAUUAAGUAAACCUGAUAAAAAUAUUUACUGCCCAAUUAGUGGCAAAGUAUUAAAAAUGAAACACUUAAUUCCUGUAAAGUUUACUGAAGUGAAAGAUCCAGAUGAUAAAAGAUCAUUAAUUGUCAAAGAUGCAAGGUAUAUGUGUCCAAUUACACAUGAUACUCUUGGCAAUAAUGUUCCAUGUGCUGUUAUAAAAACAACAGGAGAUGUAGUCACUAUGGAAUGCGUAGAAAAAAUAUUGAAAAAGGAUUGGAUAAAUCCAUUGGAUGGUACAAAAAUUGCUGAAAGUGAUAUAAUACCUCUUCAAAGGGGUGGAACAGGAUAUGCAGCAGUAAAUGAUAAUCUUGAAGGAAAGCACGAAAGACCUGUGCUACAAGCAUAACUUUAUGCUCUAAUGUUAUUAAUCAAAUUCUUUAAAUAUGUAUAUUUUACUAUAUGAAAGUAAAGGUUGUAAGUCAGCCGACAACACUCGACUAUGUUCAAGCUAUCCAGUCAGUCUCUCUGUAUCGCGACACCAACCGCAUACGUAAUAACUCAUUAAUUUUCGAAUUCAUCUGAAUAUGAAGUAGAUAUGACCACGAAAUGCUGGUUCCUU